AGUGAACGCUGGCGGUAGGCCUAACACAUGCAAGUCGAACGGCAGCACAGUAAGAGCUUGCUCUUACGGGUGGCGAGUGGCGGACGGUUGAGGAAUACAUCGGAAUCUACUUUUUCGUGGGGGAUAACGAAGGGAAACUUACGCUAAUACCGCAUACGACCUAUGGGUGAAAGCAGGGGAUCUUCGGACUUUGCGCGAUUGAAUGAGCCGAUUUCGGAUUAGCUAGUUGGGGGGGUAAAGGCCCACCAAGGCGGCGAUCCGUAGCUGGUCUGAGAGGAUGAUCAGCCACUCUGGAACUGAGACACGGUCCAGACUCCUACGGGAGGCAGCAGUGGGGAUUAUUGGACAAUGGGCGCAAGCCUGAUCCAGCCAUACCGCGUGGGUGAAGAAGGCCUUCGGGUUGUAGAGCCCUUUUGUUGGGAAAGAAAAGCAGCAGGUUAAUACCCCGCUGUUCUGACGGUACCCAAAGAAUAAGCCCCGGCUAACUUCGUG
rnacentral:rRNA from 1 species